rnacentral:rRNA from 1 species
GAGGGGUGCAAACGUUAUUCGGAUUUAACUGGGGCGUAAAGGGGUGCGUAGACGGCGUAUUAAGUUUGUUUGUUAAAUCUUCUGGCCUAAACCCCGAAGCUCGCAAUGGGAAAACUGAUAUGCUUGAGGAUGGAAGAGAGAAGUGGAAUUCUCGGAGUAGCGGUAAAAUGCGUAGAUCUCGAGAGGAACACCGAUGGCGAAGGCAGCUUCUUGGUCCACUCCUGACGUUGAGGCACGAAAGCAUGGGUAGCAAACAGGAUUAGAUACCCUGGUAGUCCAUGCUGUAAACGAUGAUCACUGGAUGUCAGCUUCGCUUUGCGAAGUUGGUAUCGAAGCUAACGCGUUAAGUGAUCCGCCUGGGAAGUACGGUCGCAAGAUUA